UACAGAGGGUGCAAGCGUUAAUCGGAUUUACUGGGCGUAAAGCGUGCGUAGGCGGUUCGCUAAGUCGGAUGUGAAAUCCCUGGGCUUAACCUGGGAACUGCAUUCGAUACUGGCGGGCUAGAGUACGGUAGAGGGUGGCGGAACUCCGGGUGUAGCGGUGAAAUGCGUAGAUAUCCGGAAGAACACCGAUGGCGAAGGCAACCACCUGGGCCUGUACUGACGCUGAGGUACGAAAGCGUGGGGAGCAAACAGG
rnacentral:rRNA from 1 species